UACGUAGGGUGCGAGCGUUAAUCGGGAUUACUGGGCGUAAAGCGUGCGCAGGCGGUUUUGUAAGCCAGAUGUGAAAUCCCCGGGCUUAACCUGGGAAUGGCAUUUGGGACUGCAAGGCUCGAGUGCGGCAGAGGAGACUGGAAUUCCUGGUGUAGCAGUGAAAUGCGUAGAUAUCAGGAGGAACACCGAUGGCGAAGGCAGGUCUCUGGGCUGACACUGACGCUCAUGCACGAAAGCGUGGGGAGCAAACAGG
rnacentral:rRNA from 1 species